rnacentral:rRNA from 1 species
GAUGAACGCUAGCUACAGGCUUAACACAUGCAAGUCGAGGGGCAGCAUUGGGGUAGCAAUACUUCAGAUGGCGACCGGCGCACGGGUGAGUAACACGUAUCCAACCUGCCGCUUACUCGGGGAUAGCCUUUCGAAAGAAAGAUUAAUACCCGAUGGUAUAAAGAGUUCGCAUGUUCUCUUUAUUAAAGAAUUUCGGUAAGCGAUGGGGAUGCGUUCCAUUAGAUAGUUGGCGGGGUAACGGCCCACCAAGUCUACGAUGGAUAGGGGUUCUGAGAGGAAGGUCCCCCGCAGUGGAACUGAGACACGGUCCAAACUGCUACGGGAGGCAGGAGUGAGGAAUAUUGGUCAAUGGACGAGAGUCUGAACCAGCCAAGUAGCGUGAAGGAUGACUGCCCUAUGGGUUGUAAACUUCUUUUAUAAGGGAAUAAAGUGAGGGACGUGCCCCUUUUUGUAUGUACCUUAUGAAUAAGGAUCGGCUAACUCCGUGCCAGCCGCCGCGGUAACAC